rnacentral:rRNA from 1 species
AUGAAAGGACAAUACCAAGGUGUUCGGAGUCGCUUCCUUAAAGAAAACCCCAAAGCAUUGUAUAUGCCAUGUGCAUGUCAUAGUUUGAAUCUCACUCUUUGUGAUAUGGCAAAAUCUUGCAAACAGUGGAAGAUUUUACUUGACUAUCUUCCAAAAGGAACAAAACUAACUCUCGAGCCUUUGUCAUGUACUCGUUGGGAGAGUCGAAUAAAGAGUGUGCAGCCUAUCAGGUACCAAACUAUCCAUGUAAUUUCAGCUUUGAAGGAAUUUGAGGAGACUUCUUGUGAUGCCCGGAUAAUCAAGCUACAGAGAAUGAUGUGA